rnacentral:lncRNA from 1 species
GCAGCGGUAGCAGCAGUAGCAGCAGCAGGAGUAGCCAGCAACACCUCGGCAAACUACAUCUUAUUAAUGUGUCUUUGGCAUAGUCAACGCCUACUUGAGAUAUUCGGCGGAUGUCUUGACAGCUUUAACAGGUUAGUUGGUGUCUUUUACAAAACUAAGUUAGAGCGACAACAACCUUACAACAAUACAAUACAAAAAAAAAACAAAAAAACAGCAACAAGUAAACAACUGCUACAGCAAUAACAACACGAUAAACAACAACAACAACAACAACAAUAACAACAGCUAUGAUGAUUACGACGACGACGGCGACAAAUAAUGAUUACAACAAUAUCAACAACAUCGAUAGCAGCUGAGUUCCCGAAACAACAACAAAAAUAAAGGUAAUAAUACAUAUUUAUUAUUUAUUAUUUAAUAAUUGGUAAUUAAUUAUUAAUCGAUCAUUUUGAUUGUAAUUGGUUAAUGAGGACUGUGGUGAUGGCGCAGUCGGUUAGAGGAGCGGGCUAAAAUAUUUUGGAAAAAAAUUCAGUCCUGGUUCCAAUCUUUAUAUUCCGAGAUAAAAUUUUCAGCAAGGCACAGGCGUGGCUCUGUGGUAAAAAGUUCGUUUCCGAACCACAUGGUCCCGGGCUCAGUCGCACUAAACGGCAUCUUGGGCCGAUGUCUUCUACUAUAGCCCCAUAUCGAUCUAAGUCUUGUGAGCGGAUUUGGUGGACAGAAGCUGAAGGAAAACCGUCCUGUACACACACACACACACACACACACACACACACACACACACACACACAUACACACAUACACACACACACACACACACACACGGUGUGUGUGUGUGUGUGUAUGUGCUUGUCUCUCCAUCAACAUUUGACAACCGCUGUUCGUGUGUUUACGUCCCUGCAGUUAGCGGUUUCAUCAAAAGGGACUGAUAGAAUAAGUACCCGGAGUAAGAAAAAAAGUACUGGUGGCGAUUUGUUCAUCUGUGAUUCUUCUAGACAGUGCCUCAGUAUGGCCGCAGUCUAAUGACUGAAACAAGUAUAAGAAUAAAAGUGUGUGUGUGCGUGUAUAUAUAUAUAUAUAUAUAUAUAUAUACAUACACACACAUCUGAUGUAUAAAAUUUUCAAGACAUUUUAUCUGUUGCCAGCAUAUUAAAAAAUACCUUUUAGGGUGAAAUUUAUAAACAACUUAUAAAUAAGGGCAAAAGAAAAAUAAAAAAAAAUUCCUAUCCCAAAUAUGCCGAGAAAUAGAUUUUAAAUCGUCAAUAACCACAUAUAAUUCUAUGUGGUUAUUGACGAUUUAAAGUUUAUUUCUCGGCAUAUUAUGUAUAUGAAUUUUUUUUUCUUUUGCCCUUAUUUAUAAGUUACACACACACACACACACACACACACACACACACACACACACACACACACACACACACACAUAUAUAUAUAAGUUGCAAAUUAACCACUCAUAUAUAUAUAUAUAUAAAUAUAUAUAUAUAUAUAUAUAUAUAUAUAUAUAUAUAUAUAUAUAUAUAUACAUAUAUAUAUAUAAUACAUAUAAAUGUAUGUAUUGUAUAUUUAUGUAUAUGUGUGUAUAUGUGCGUAUGUGUGUGUGUGCGUGUGAGUAUGUGUGUGUGUAUAUAUGCAUAUGUAUAUGUAUAGGUAUGUAUAUAUACAUGUAUGCAUGUAUAUUAUAUAUAUACAUAUAUAUAUAUAUAUACGCAUAUAUGUUUAUGUAUGUAUAUACACACACUUACAUGAAUGUAUGUAUGUUUGUAUGUGUGUGUUUAUGUAUGUAUGUAUGUAUGUAUGUAUGUAUGCAUGUAUGUAUGUAUGCAUGUAUGUAUGUGUGUGUGUGAGUGUGAGAAAGAGAGAGGGGGAGAGAGAGAAUGAGAGAGAGAAAGUGAGAGAAUGAAUGUGUGUGUAUGUGUUUGUGUUAUCCAUCAUCACCGUUUGACAGCCGGUGUUGCUUAGGCCCUCGUUCCAUAGCGGUUCGGCAAAAGUAAACCGAUAGAAUAAAUACCAGGCUGAAAACUAAAAAGUAGAAAUAUGUGUGUGUGUGUGAUUGUAUGCAUGUACUCGAAUACGUCUGUAUGUAUAUGUUAACGCGUGUGUGUGUGUACACAUGUGUAUAUGAAUGUAUACAUAUGUGUGUUGAAGUGUGUGUUUCCGUAUUUGUUUGCUGAAUCAUUAUAUAAUAUUCAAAUUUUGGCACAAGGCCAGCAACUUCGGGGUUGGGGUGAAUUCGAUAACAUCGAUCCAGUAUUUAGCUGGUACUUAUUUUAUCGACCGCGAAAGGCUGAAAGGCAAAAUCGAUCUCGGUGGCAUCUGAACACAGAACAUAAGUGUUAUAUCGCACGUUCCGAUGACCUCUACUCAACUCCCGACGUCUAGACUUCUCUCUCUAUAUCUACGUAUUGGGCUAGCCUACUUCAUCGUCUUGGGGCGUCCACACAACAAUAAGGACGGACGAAAUGCUGCUUAGCAUUUUGUCCGACGUGCAAACGAUUCUGCCAGCUCG